UACGUGAGGGGCGAACGUUGUUCGGUGUCACUGGGCUUAAAGGGUGCGUAGGUGGUUGUGUAAGUAACGUGUGAAAUCCCUCGGCUUACCCGGGGAAUUGCAUGUUAUACUGCAUGACUUGAGGUCUAAAGGGGAAAAGGGAACUCCAGGUGUAGCGGUGAAAUGCGCAGAUAUCUGGGGGAAGGCCGGCGGCGAAGGCGCUUUUCUGGUUAGAUCCUGACACUGAGGCACGAAAGCGUGGGGAGCAAACAGGG
rnacentral:rRNA from 1 species